CUUCCCUUUCACCCUAACACACUUUCUAUCCCCAGGACCAUUAAUGACAACUUUUCUCUUCCUACAGACUGAUCCCUCCUCUGGGGCCCUCUUUUCUGACCGCCCCUUCAUCUCAUAUCGCCGACAAAACAUUUUCUCAUACUUUUUAUUCUUUAAAUGCAGUAUGAUAGCACAGCAUUAGGUCAUAAAAGGUUAAAGGUCUCUUCAACGCUGAAGGCCUUCCUGCUUGAAAUAAAUAUAUAAACUAAAUCACGUCCGCGUAAAAGAUUAUGUCGCUGAAACACCCUCUACGUUUUGCAUUCUGUGUGUAGUUGCGAGAGGAUUCCUAAGCCUUGAAUACAACUGUUCUGCUCAACAGUGUCUCAGAACAGCCGCAGUGGAGGUCCGCGAACAUGAAAUCUGCGCUUUUUAUCUGUUUGCUGGGCAUCGCAAUAACCUUGGCUUUUGGUGCUUCCGCCACCGAUGGGAGAUCAAAAAAGAGAAGACUGCCUGGAGCCAGGAUACCACUAGAGAACAGUGGGGGCCUUGCAGAGGCUGUACUGGACAGUAUUCAGGCUCAGAAUGUGCAGGAGCAGUUACAUCAUACCAAACGUUGGUGUAGAGGAUGUACCUAUCCUUUGGAAGGUGAUGGUAACCAAGCAGAAAUGGUGCAGAAGAGAAUCGAGAAAGUCCAAAAAGAGGAAUCUGCUCAAACGGUGACUCCAGACGUACAGGACGCAGACAGUAAGCAGAGAAGGAAGAGAGAAACGGGUACCCCAUCCCUGCUGCCCAGCCCCUCAAACCCCCCGGACUCCCGUGAUGCCCAGAAGAAAGGGAGAGGGAAGCUAAAGGAGAGGGCAAAGGGGUGGAAAACACUGCGUGGAGACAGGGUACCACUAGAGAACAGCAGGGGCCUUGCAGAGACAGUACUGGAAAUGAUUCAGGCUCGGAAACAGCAGCAGCAGGUGACCCCAGACGCACCAGACACAGACAGUAAGCAGAGAAGGAAGAGAGAAACGAAGAGAAAACCGAACACUACCAGCAUUUAUCAUCCAUUCUCUGGCACCGGAGACCAAGCCUCAGCAGUGCAACAAAGACUCAACAGUAAGCUUCAGAAGCAGAAUGAAAACCUCCCCGCUGACACUCAGAACCGUAAGAGGAGGGCAAUCCAGCCCCUGACAAAGAAGCCCCCCAGGCCAUGUCCUGGCUGCUUUGCUGUCAUAGGUGAUGCUAAUAGGAACCUGGAUCAGCAGGGCUAGUAAUU
rnacentral:lncRNA from 1 species